rnacentral:rRNA from 1 species
GGGACACGUGGUAUCCUGUCUGAAUAUGGGGGGACCAUCCUCCAAGGCUAAAUACUCCUGACUGACCGAUAGUGAACCAGUACCGUGAGGGAAAGGCGAAAAGAACCCCGGCGAGGGGAGUGAAAAAGAACCUGAAACCGUGUACGUACAAGCAGUGGGAGCACGCUUAGGCGUGUGACUGCGUACCUUUUGUAUAAUGGGUCAGCGACUUAUAUUCUGUAGCAAGGUUAACCGAAUAGGGGAGCCGAAGGGAAACCGAGUCUUAACUGGGCGUUAAGUUGCAGGGUAUAGACCCGAAACCCGGUGAUCUAGCCAUGGGCAGGUUGAAGGUUGGGUAACACUAACUGGAGGACCGAACCGACUAAUGUUGAAAAAUUAGCGGAUGACUUGUGGCUGGGGGUGAAAGGCCAAUCAAACCGGGAGAUAGCUGGUUCUCCCCGAAAGCUAUUUAGGUAGCGCCUCGUGAAUUCAUCUCCGGGGGUAGAGCACUGUUUCGGCAAGGGGGUCAUCCCGACUUACCAACCCGAUGCAAACUGCGAAUACCGGAGAAUGUUAUCACGGGAGACACACGGCGGGUGCUAACGUCCGUCGUGAAGAGGGAAACAACCCAGACCGCCAGCUAAGGUCCCAAAGUCAUGGUUAAGUGGGAAACGAUGUGGGAAGGCCCAGACAGCCAGGAUGUUGGCUUAGAAGCAGCCAUCAUUUAAAGAAAGCGUAAUAGCUCACUGGUCGAGUCGGCCUGCGCGGAAGAUGUAACGGGGCUAAACCAUGCACCGAAGCUGCGGCAGCGACGCUUAUGCGUUGUUGGGUAGGGGAGCGUUCUGUAAGCCUGCGAAGGUGUGCUGUGAGGCAUGCUGGAGGUAUCAGAAGUGCGAAUGCUGACAUAAGUAACGAUAAAGCGGGUGA